AUUGAACGCUGGCGGUAUGCUUAACACAUGCAAGUCGAACGGUAGCAGGCCUUCGGGCGCUGACGAGUGGCGGACGGGUGAGUAACGCGUAGGAAUCUGCCUCAUAGUGGGGGACAACGUGGGGAAACUCACGCUAAUACCGCAUACGCCUACGGGGAAAGCGGGGGAGUCUUCGGACCUCGCGCUAUGAGAUGAGCCUGCGUUAGAUUAGCUAGUUGGUAGGGUAAAGGCCUACCAAGGCGACGAUCUAUAGCUGGUCUGAGAGGACGAUCAGCCACACUGGGACUGAGACACGGCCCAGACUCCUACGGGAGGCAGCAGUGGGGAAUAUUGGACAAUGGGCGCAAGCCUGAUCCAGCAAUACCGCGUGUGUGAAGAAGG
rnacentral:rRNA from 1 species